rnacentral:tRNA from 1 species
AUUCAAAUAGCUUAAAUAAGAGCAUGGCACUGAAGUUGCUAAGGUAAUAUUAAUUUUUGGAU